rnacentral:rRNA from 1 species
AAACCAACCGGGAUUGCCCUAGUAACGGCGAGUGAAGCGGCAAAAGCUCAAAUUUGAAAUCUGGCAUCUUUGAUGUCCGAGUUGUAAUUUGAAGAGGUUACUUUGGAGGCUGGCUCUUGUCUAUGUUCCUUGGAACAGGACGUCAUGGAGGGUGAGAAUCCCGUCUGGCGAGAGUUUCAGUUUUCAUGUAAAGUAGCAUUCGACGAGUCGAGUUGUUUGGGAAUGCAGCUCUAAGUGGGUGGUAAAUUCCAUCUAAAGCUAAAUAUUGGCGAGAGACCGAUAGCGAACAAGUACAGUGAUGGAAAGAUGAAAAGAACUUUGAAAAGAGAGUGAAAAAGUACGUGAAAUUGUUGAAAGGGAAGGGCAUUUGAUCAGACAUGGUGUUUCGUGCUUCUUGCUCCUUGUGGGCGGGGAGACUCACACGGUUCACUGGGCCAACAUCAGUUUUGGCAGCAGGAUAAAACUUUGGGAACGUAGCUUUCUUCGGGAAGUGUUAUAGCCCUUGGCAAUACUGCUAGCCGGGAUUGAGGACUGCGCAUUUAUGCAAGGAUGUUGGCUUAAUGGUUAAAUGCCGC